UAGAAUUAUAGAAUCAUAGAAUCAUAGAGUUGGAAGAGACCACAAGGGCCAUCGAGCCCAACCCCCUACCAAGCAGGAAACACCAUCAGAGCACUCCUGACAUAUGGUUGUCAGGCCUCUGCUUAAAGACCUCCAAAGAAGGAGACUCCACCACACUCCUUGGCAGCAAAUUCCACUGUCGAACAGCUCUUACUGUCAGGAAGUUCUUCCUAAUGUUUAGGUGGAAUCUUCUUUCUUGUAGUUUGGAUCCAUUGCUCGGUGUCCGCUUCUCUGGAGCAGCAGAAAACAACCUUUCUCCCUCCUCUAUGUGACAUCCUUUUAUAUAUUUGAACAUGGCUAUCAUAUCACCCCUUAACCUCCUCUUCUCCAGGCUAAACAUGCCCAGCUCCCUUAGCCGUUCCUCAUAAGGCAUCGUUUCCAGGCCUUUGACCAUUUUGGUUGCCCUCCUCUGGACACGUUCCAGUUUGUCAGUGUCCUUCUUGAACUGUGGUGCCCAGAACUGGACACAGUACUCCAGGUGAGGUCUGACCAGAGCAGAAUACAGUGGCACUAUUACUUCCCUUGAUCUAGAUGCUAUACUCCUAUUGAUGCAGCCCAGAAUUGCAUUGGCUUUUUAGCUGCCGCGUCACACUGUUGGCUCAUGUCAAGUUUGUGGUCAACCAAGACUCCUAGAUCCUUUUCACAUGUACUGCUCUCAAGCCAGGUGUCACCCAUCUUGUAUUUGUGCCUCUCAUUUUUUUGCCCAAGUGCAAUACUUUACAUUUCUCCCUGUUAAAAUUCAUCUUGUUUGUUUUGGCCCAGUUCUCUAAUCUGUCAAGGUCGUUUUGAAGUGUGAUCCUGUCCUCUGGGGUGUUAGCCACCCCUCCCAGUUUGGUGUCAUCUGCAAAUUUGAUCAGGAUGCCCUUGAGUCCAUCAUCCAAGUCGUUGAUAAAGAUGUUGAAUAAGACCGGGCCCAAGACAGAACCCUGUGGCACCCCACUAGUCACUCUUCUCCAGGAUGAAGAGGAACCAUUGAUGAGCACCCUUUGGGUUCGGUCAGUCAGCCAGUUACAAAUCCACUGAGUGGUAGCAUAGUCAAGACCGCAUUUUACCAGCUUCUUUACAAGAAUAUCAUGGGGCACCUUGUCAAAUGCCUUGCUGAAAUCAAGGUAGGCUACAUCCACUGCGUUCCCUUCAUCUACCAGGCUUGUAAUUCUGUCAAAAAACGAGAUCAGGUUAGUCUGACAUGACUUUUUUUCAGAAAUCCAUGCUGACUAUUGGUGAUCACAGCAUUCCUUUCUAGGUGCUCACAGACUGUUUGCUUAAUGAUCUGCUCCAGAAUCUUCCCUGGUAUUGAUGUCAGACUGACUGGGUGGUAAUUAUUUGGGUCCUCUCUUUUCCCCUUUUUGAAAAUAGGGACAACAUUUGCCCUCCUCCAGUCUGCCGGGACUUCGCCUGUUCUCCAGGAAUUCUCAAAGAUGACUGCCAGUGGUUCUGAGAUCACAUCUGCCAGUUCUUUUAAUACUCUUGGAUGCAGUUCAUCUGGCCCUGGAGACUUGAAUACAUCUAAACUAGCCAAGUAUUCUUGUACUAUCUCCUUAGUUAUUCUGGGCUGUGUUUCCUUUGCUGAAUCAUUUGCUCCAAAUUCUUCAGGUCGGGCAUUGUUUUCUUUAUCGGAGAAGACUGAGGCAAAGAAGGCAUUGAGGAGUUCAGCCCUUUCUGUGUCCCCUGUUUGCAUUUCACCAUCUUCUCCUCUGAGUGACCCCACUGUUUCUUUGUUCUUCCUUUUGCUAUGAACAUACCCAUAAAAGCCUGUUUUGUUGCUUUUAACCUCUCUAGCAAGCCUGAGUUCAUUCUGUGCUUUAGCUUUUCUGACUUUGUGUCUACACGUGCUGGCUAUUUGUUUGAAUUCCUCUUUGGUGGUUUCCCCCUUUUCCAUUUUUGUACACAUCCUUUUUAAUCUUAACUCAGUUAAAAGUUCUUUAGAUAGCCACCCUGGCUUCUUUAGGCACCUUCCAUGUUUCCGUCUCAUUGGUAUUGCCUGACGUUGUGCUUUUACUAUCUCCCU
rnacentral:lncRNA from 1 species